rnacentral:rRNA from 1 species
AGUGAACGCUGGCGGUAGGCCUAACACAUGCAAGUCGAACGGCAGCACAGUAAGAGCUUGCUCUUACGGGUGGCGAGUGGCGGACGGGUGAGGAAUACAUCGGAAUCUACUUUUUCGUGGGGGAUAACGUAGGGAAACUUACGCUAAUACCGCAUACGACCUACGGGUGAAAGCAGGGGAUCUUCGGACCUUGCGCGAUUGAAUGAGCCGAUGUCGGAUUAGCUAGUUGGCGGGGUAAAGGCCCACCAAGGCGACGAUCCGUAGCUGGUCUGAGAGGAUGAUCAGCCGCCCUGGAACGGGGCCAGGGUCAAGACUCCUACGGGAGGCAGCAGUGGGGAAUAUUGGACAGUGGGCGCAAGCCUGAUCCAGCCAUACCGAGUGGGUGAAGAAGGCCUUGGGGUUGUAAAGCCCUUUUGUUGGGAAAGAAAAGCAGCAGGUUAAUACCCCGCUGUUCUGACGGUACCCAAAGAAUAAGCACCGGCUAACUUCGUG